rnacentral:tRNA from 2 species
GCCGGUUUAGCUCAGUUGGUAGAGCAACUGAUUUGUAAUCAGUAGGUCGCGGGUUCGAUUCCUGCAACCGGCACCA